rnacentral:tRNA from 1 species
UGGGGAAUCGUCCAACGGCAGGACGCCUGACUCUGGAUCAGGUAAUCGGGGUUCGAAUCCCUGUUCCCCAGCCA